UACGUAGGGGGCAAGCGUUGUCCGGAAUCAUUGGGCGUAAAGAGCGUGUAGGCGGCCUGGUAAGUCCGCUGUGAAAGUCCAGGGCUCAACCCUGGAAUGCCGGUGGAAACUGUCAGGCUCGAGUCCGGAAGAGGCGAGUGGAAUUCCUGGUGUAGCGGUGAAAUGCGCAGAUAUCAGGAGGAACACCAAUGGCGAAGGCAGCUCGCUGGGACGGUACUGACGCUGAGACGCGAAAGCGUGGGGAGCAACAGG
rnacentral:rRNA from 1 species